GUGGUAAUGCCGGAUGCUCCAGUUGAUCGCAUGGUCUUCUGGGAAAGCUUUCGCGGUAUGGGAUGGGGUCGCGUCCUAUCAGCUUGACGGCGGGGUAACGGCCCACCGUGGCUUCGACGGGUAGCCGGCCUGAGAGGGCGACCGGCCACAUUGGGACUGAGAUACGGCCCAGACUCCUACGGGAGGCAGCAGUGGGGAAUAUUGCACAAUGGGCGCAAGCCUGAUGCAGCGACGCCGCGUGAGGGAUGGAGGCCUUCGGGUUGUAAACCUCUUUUAUCGGGGAGCAAGCGAGAGUGAGUUUACCCGUUGAAUAAGCACCGGCUAACUACGUGCCAGCAGCCGCGGUAAUACGUAGGGUGCAAGCGUUAUCCGGAAUUAUUGGGCGUAAAGGGCUCGUAGGCGGUUCGUCGCGUCCGGUGUGAAAGUCCAUCGCUUAACGGUGGAUCCGCGCCGGGUACGGGCGGGCUUGAGUGCGGUAGGGGAGACUGGAAUUCCCGGUGUAACGGUGGAAUGUGUAGAUAUCGGGAAAAGAACACCA
rnacentral:rRNA from 2 species